AUGUGGCAGGCCCUGCUCUAAGUGCCGGACAUGGACUCAUGUGCAGUCGGUGUAGGUCUCCCAAGGACCCUCUGCCACAGAGGUGAAUCCCCAUGUCUACAGCACCAGAACAGCGGGAGGUGGUUGAUUAAUGGGACCUGGCUCUAGAUAUCAAGUGCACCCCAAUGUCCUGUGGCUGGCAGAGCAUUUCCUUCACCAGAAGGACUGGAGUUUCAGUCUAGCAGAGUCCUCGGAUACAGGACCCGCGUGGGAUUUCCAGUUCUGCUACUUCUAGCUGCAGGACCUUCCUCACAGAUGAGGAAACUGAGGGCAGGGAAUUUGCCCAAAGUAGCAGCAAAAGGAUACUCUGGACCACUGUUUGAACCAAGCCUGUCCAGCUCCCCUAUGUCACCAAGAUUCAGAGGAAAACUGACCCACUUGGACUCUGCAGGACACAGAAACUUUCCUGAAGGUUCAUCCUAUACAUCUCACAUCAUCUUCAGAGCAACCUUUGAAGAAGGGGCUAUUGAUACCCCCAUUUUACAGAGGAGGGAACACAGGCUCUUAGCUGUUAAGUAACCAGCCAAGAAGAUACAGCUAGUAAAUGAUGGAGCAGAAUUCAAAUCCAAGCCCCCCUGACACCAUGGUUCACAACCUUAAUCACUGCACCCUACUUGUACAAUUCAUGUAAAGUGGCUCCAGUGUGAAUUUUGGAGUCUGGGAACUGGACAGCCCCAGAUUCACAUUCUCAUUUUACUACUCAAUUGGUCCAUGUAAACAACCUCUCUAAACCUUGGUCUCUUCAUCUGCAAAAGGUAGGAACCUUAAUGCUUAGCUUUCAGGCUUGAAAAUAAAGAAGAACUUCUGUAACCAUAUUGCUUCCAAAGACCUGGUUCAGUCCCAGAACCGGAAUCCCUUUGCACGGCAGGAACACAAAGACUCUUACAACAAUAACUGUGGUUGUGUUUUGUUUCAUGUACGAAGGCUCUGGUGGACACACAAUGGUAUGCCCAUGGUAG